rfam:Schistosoma haematobium scaffold998_26, whole genome shotgun sequence.
UUCGGCGAUCAUACUUUGUUCAAAAAAGCGGUUCUUGUUCGACCGCAUAAGUUAAGCAAUGUUGGACUCCGUCAGUAUUUGUAUGGGCGACCGGCUGGGAACGCCGUGUGUCACCGACU